GGAAGAAGGAAGCAUGGUAAGGUGCACAGAGAUGAAAGAUGGGUCCACAUGUCUGCUCGCUUUGAUGCUCUCGGGCGUUGAUCUAGCGGGCCUGGAUUCGACUCACAUUC